rnacentral:rRNA from 1 species
CCCUUAGAUGUUCUGGGCCGCACGCGCGCUACACUGUUCGACGCAGCGAGUCUUAACCUUGACCGAAAGGUUUGGGUAAUCUUCAGCAAAGUCGAACGUGAUGGGGAUCGAUCAUUGCAAUUAUUGAUCGUGAACGAGGAAUUCCUAGUAAGUGCAAGUCAUCAGCUUGCGCUGAUUACGUCCCUGCCCUUUGUACACACCGCCCGUCGCUACUACCGAUUGAAUGGUUUAGUGAGAUCUCUGGAUUGACGCUGGCUAGGGGGCGACCCGUGGCCAGGCUGUCGAGAAACUGCUCAAACUUGAUCAUUUAGAGGAAGUAAAAGUCGUAACA